rnacentral:rRNA from 1 species
GACGAACGCUGGCGGCAUGCCUAACACAUGCAAGUCGAACGGAGAAUAUCGAGCGGAAGGCUUCGGCCCGAAGCAUGAUAUUUCUUAGUGGCGGACGGGUGAGUAACGCGUGAGCAACCUGGCCUUAAGAGGGGGAUAACAUUGGGAAACCAAUGCUAAUACCGCAUAAGCCCACAAGCACAAAAGUGCAAGGGGGAAAAGGAGUAAUCCGCUUAAGGAUGGGCUCGCGUCCCAUUAGCUAGUUGGUAGGGUAAUGGCCUACCAAGGCAACGAUGGGUAGCCGGACUGAGAGGUUGAACGGCCACACUGGGGCUGAGACACGGCCCAGACUCCUACGGGAGGCAGCAGUGGGGGAUAUUGGGCAAUGGGCGAAAGCCUGACCCAGCAAUGCCGCGUGAAGGAAGACGGUCUUCGGAUUGUAAACUUCUGUCCUAUGGGAAGAAACAAAUGACGGUACCAUAGGAGGAAGCCCCGGCUAACUACGUGCCAGCAGCCGCCGCCGUAAAAC